rnacentral:rRNA from 1 species
CCUCGGGAGGCAGCAGUGGGGAAUAUUGGACAAUGGGCGAAAGCCUGAUCCAGCCAUGCCGCGUGUGUGAAGAAGGCCUUCGGGUUGUAAAGCACUUUCAGUGGGGAAGAAAGCCUUGGGGCUAAUACCCUCGAGGAAGGACAUCACCCACAGAAGAAGCACCGGCUAACUCCGUGCCAGCAGCCGCGGUAAUACGGAGGGUGCGAGCGUUAAUCGGAAUUACUGGGCGUAAAGCGCGCGUAGGCGGUCUGAUAAGCCGGUUGUGAAAGCCCCGGGCUCAACCUGGGAACGGCAUCCGGAACUGUCAGGCUAGAGUGCAGGAGAGGAAGGUAGAAUUCCCGGUGUAGCGGUGAAAUGCGUAGAGAUCGGGAGGAAUACCAGUGGCGAAGGCGGCCUUCUGGACUGACACUGACGCUGAGGUGCGAAAGCGUGGGUAGCAAACAGGAUUAGAUACCCUGGUAGUC